CUGGAGGACGUCAGUUGCUGCUGUCUCCUCGCAGCACCGAGGUUUGGGCCUUAUUUUAGUUUUAAGCGCGGGCACCUGAGCCGGCUGGGGCGCUGAGGAACGCCUGCCGGAGGAGGGGGAGGCCGAAGUCCGAGGGGCUGGGGAGUCCCUUGGAGCUCGCGAGGGCCGAUCUGGAGCUACGCCGGGAGGGGCUUGGGCUGGACCUACGGGGGUCAGGGAGCGGAGGGCGCGUCGGAAGGGUGUGGAAGGCAAGAAUGGAUGGGACGCUGCGACGGCCGUCCCCUGACACAUGAGUGUGGAGUACCCACUACGUGUUGGGCCCUGUCAGGCUCUGCCCUCGUGGACCUUCCAUUCUAGUGGGACGCAGCCAAACGAGGACUCCCAGGUCCUGUUCCAGUCUGCGGAAUGUUGAGGGAGCAACAGUCCUGCCCAAAGACACUCGGCCCUCGGGAACGGUGGGUCUGCCUUGCAGCCAGACGCUGCGAAGUCCCUCUGGACUCUGCUAUGCAUCUACCACCUGGAAAGUUACCCAAACCUUCAUCCAACUGCUGUUUUCCGCCGACAAUUCUGGAUAUUUACCUCCUACACAAAGGUCCUAAAACCCUUCCCUCACUAGGGCAUGCCCCCUGCCACUGGUAUCCCACCACUCAGGCUCCUUUCUACACCACCCCCACAUUCCCCCGCCUCAGGUUCUGUCCCCUCCUGGGCGUGCCUUACCUUCGACUUCAGAUGAAGGCCACUGUCGCUUGGCUGCCCCUCUCUUUCCAUGGAGGCUCUCUGCAGGCUUAGUGUCCGGAGGCUUCUCAGACUCUUGAGAAUGCCUGCCCGUCGGCCUUUCCUUGGCCUUGGGAGCUGAACUGACGCGCCCCUUUUGCUCCUCACCUGAAACACACGGACAAUUAGUCCUACAGUUUACUGGAUCCCAGUCCUUCAGUUGGCUGCUUUGGCCCACAAUGAAACAAGGAAGCUCGCAA